GGAUGUGGCUAUUCUGGUUCUGAUCCCGUUGACUACCGUGGUUGAUUUGGCAGAUCUGAUUGCCUAGGGUAGAUGUCCACCUUCUUCCUUUAUCAUUUCACGUGUGUCCUUCUCAAAGCUGCAUACACUUUUCAGAGAAGAUGACCUUCCUCAAAGGAUGAGGACCAUUCUCAAGUCAAAGGCACAUGGAUUGUUGUGCUUUCUUGCUAGAGUCUUCAAAUACGUUUUCAAGAGAUAGAUAUGUGCUGCUUUACAAAUUCUUCCUGGGACUACUAUUUAAUUUGCAAUUUUGAAGCUUAAU
rfam:Mus musculus chromosome 13, GRC primary reference assembly.